AUACUUAGGUAAAAUGUAUCUUUUGGAUGACCCCCUGGUCUAAGUCGUCAUUAUUUUGUUACUGGUCCUUUUCUGCUUUCUCAUGUGACCCAGGACAUCUCUGCUUUGUUCCAGGUAUUAUGUUGCUUUUCCAAUGUCAAGAGGCUGCACCUGUAAGCACUAUCUAGGCUUGAAUUCAUUUCCCCAGUCUCCAAUGCCCAUGCUGGAUUCCAGAUUCAACAAUAGUGUGCUCCAGGUACACCUGGGUGUUUUCACAGAUCGUCUCACCUCAUCACAUCAGCCUCAAAUUGCCAUGCUUGACAUCUGUGGAAAUUCUUGCACGCCCGAAUUCCUGAGACUGUUCUGCAACUUCCACCCCUCCGCAGGACUUCUUUCCCCAAACUCACGUGCUGGAGAUGCAGCAGAAAGAAACGAAUAUUUCAGUCAUAUGGAACAAAAGCCUGAGGACUUGACCCAGCACUUAUGAGUAAGCCUCCCAUGCUUAUUGUGGUCAUCGUACUUCAAAUUAUACCUAGGGACUCAUAAAUAUUGCAUUUAUUACGCAUCACUAAAGAUAGUCGUGCAUGUGCAAAAUAAUUACAGGUAAGUGGUCAU
rnacentral:lncRNA from 1 species